rnacentral:rRNA from 1 species
UACGUAGGGGGCUAGCGUUAUCCGGAUUUACUGGGCGUAAAGGGUGCGUAGGUGGUUUCUUAAGUCAGAGGUGAAAGGCUACGGCUCAACCGUAGUAAGCCUUUGAAACUGGGAAACUUGAGUGCAGGAGAGGAGAGUGGAAUUCCUAGUGUAGCGGUGAAAUGCGUAGAUAUUAGGAGGAACACCAGUUGCGAAGGCGGCUCUCUGGACUGUAACUGACACUGAGGCACGAAAGCGUGGGGAGCAAACAGGAUUAGAUACCCGCGUAGUCCCUGAG